rnacentral:lncRNA from 1 species
ACCUGAUCACUGUGAUGGUUAAGAUUGGUGUUCUGUUUGGGUGGACUGAGAUAGACCUACGUUACAUGUGUCUUUGAGGACAUUUCCAGGGAUGACUACAGUAUGAAGUUUCUGAGCACAUGAAGGGUUUUAGCUGUUGAAUGAUUUGGAAUCUAAACAGACUAUUGAGCAGGGAUGGAACUGUGAACAGUGGGACCUGGUUGGAAGAAAAGUCACUUGGGAUGUGUCUUAGUAGGCUGUUCCUUCUGCUCAUGGUCUCUUCUUUGUUGUGACUUUGCUCUGUUUCCUGGCUGCAGGAGGUAAGCUAUUGUACCACUUCCUCCUCUUUCCAUGCUGAGCCAAAUCUCUAGAUCAGUGAGAAAAACAUUUACCUUUCCUCCAUGGUUUAUGUAGAGCCAGUUUCUGUUGCUGCUGGUUUUCUUGUUGUUUGUUUACUUUUUACAGUGGGCAGCCGUAGCAAAUUAGCUCUUGCAGCUUCUCUUCUCCUUUUAGUGUUUAUAGCAGAAUCCCACAAUUGCUAUUUAAUGUUCACACACUUUGACAAGAAGCUGACCAUUGUUAGAGGCAAGUGCAGGUGACCACUAGGCUGAGGCUGAGAGCAUAGCAGCGCUCAGGGACAGAAUGGCAUGCCCAGACCUCAAACCCAGUCUCUGCAGCUUACAAAUCCAUUGUUUUAACCACAAAACUUCAGUGGUGUCCAUAUGCUUAAGUCUGUUUGGGGAGCUAAGUCUUUCCCCUGGUCAUGACAGGUCUACACGCUUCAGGUACGAUUUUUCUUUCUCAUCAGUGAACACCCUGUUAGCUUUAGGGGCACGGAGAAGAGUUGCCAAAUACUCUAAGGUCUUUGACUAAUUUUAUAUGAAGUUAUUUGAUUUCCUUGAUCAGUGAAAUCAUUGGUCUGAUUUCUUCCAUGUUGAUUGCUUGCAGGCAAUGGCCCACUGGGAUGAGAUGUUAUAAUAACUAACAGCAUUUAUGAAUCAGUUUGUGGGUUACGAUCUUUUGAGAGCUUCAGAGAAAAACUAGUCUAGCUUAUUUUUAUUGUUUAAAGGUUCAUACUCAAUAUUUUGAGGAUAUUCAAAGUAAAGGAAGAACAAGAUAACCACAUGUUCUUGUGACCGUUGCUUUUCCUAACUCCCAGACACUUGGCC